AUUGAACGCUGGCGGCAGGCCUAACACAUGCAAGUCGAGCGGUAGAGAGAAGCUUGCUUCUCUUGAGAGCGGCGGACGGGUGAGUAAUGCCUAGGAAUCUGCCUGGUCGUGGGGGCUAACGUUCGGAAACGAACGCUAAUACCGCACACGUCCUACGGGAGAAAGCAGGGGACCUUCGGGCCUUGCGCUAUCAGAUGAGCCUAGGUCGGAUUAGCUAGUUGGUGAGGUAAUGGCUCACCAAGGCGACGAUCCGUAACUGGUCUGAGAGGAUGAUCAGUCACACUGGAACUGAGACACGGUCCAGACUCCUACGGGAGGCAGCAGUGGGGAAUAUUGGACAAUGGGCGAAAGCCUGAUCCAGCCAUGCCGCGUGUGUGAAGAAGGUCUUCGGAUUGUAAAGCACUGUAAGUUGGGAGGAAGGGCAUUAACCUAAUACGUGAGUGUUUUGACGUUACCGACAGAAUAAGCAACGGCUAACUCCGUG
rnacentral:rRNA from 1 species